rnacentral:RNase_P_RNA from 1 species
UCAGACGGUUGGAUGGCCGCUGGCAGUUUCGACUGCUGGAGGAAAGUCCGGGCUCCACGGAAACACGGUGCCGGGUAACACCCGGCGGGGGCGACCCCAGGGAAAGUGCCACAGAAAGCAAACCGCCAACCGGCUUCGGCCGGCGGCAAGGGUGAAAGGGUGCGGUAAGAGCGCACCGCGGGACCGGCAACGGAACCGGCACGGUAAACCCCACCGGGAGCAAGACCGAAUAGGGAUGAUCGGCCGCGCGCAAGCGGCGGCAGGCGGGUUUUCGCGCCAUCAUCCGGGUAGGUCGCGCGAGGCGGUCGGCAACGAUCGUCCCAGAGGAAUGGCCAUACAACGUGUCGCCUUGCUCGAAAGAGUGGGGCGGCAUGUGGACAAAACCCGGCUUAUAGACCGUCUGACCCG